UCUUUCGCGCGGCGGCCAUGAUGGCGGCGCGCUGUGAGUGGCAGGACUUUAACGACCUCAAGACAGUUCCAGAGCAGGGGAACCUAGAUAAAUUGUUACUGGAUGAGGUGAAUGGAAUGUUACAGGAUCUUCCAGAACUAGGCAACAGUUUUUCGAGUGAAAUAGGCAGUUUCCAACCAAUGGAAGAUCUGAAAAGGUUUGAUGAGAAGUUGACAGUAUGCUUUCAAAAUGUCAGUAUCAAAACAGAAACAAUUGCUCCCGUACAGCUCAUCAACGAGGAUAAAAUAAUGAGGAAUGACGAGAUAUGGAACGCCCUCACGGCAAACUAUGGUAACGUGAUGGCGCUGGACUGGAAACAGUCGCACACGCGCACCCUCCACAUCCCCGCUCUGAACCUGAAGGACAGUCCAAGGGGGUGUGGAGGUCAGAGGGGGUGUGGAGGUCAGAAAGGGUGUGGAGGUCAGAGUUGGUGUGGAGGUCAGAAGAGAUGUGAAGGUCAGAGGGCAUGUGGAGGAGAGCUGCUGCUGGAGAAUGAGGAGAUGAGGGAGCAGAUGGACCUGCACUCCAUCAUCGUGUCUUGUUUCAGCGAUGAGCCGGUCCUCACUGCAGAGCAGGUCCUGGAGGAGAUAGAGGAGAUGUUGCAGGACUCUCCAGACCAGGGCCCGUCGCAGCUAGACUUCUCCCUGGGCCCCCCUGGGUCCCCUGGCCCUCCCUGCUCCACCACCAGCCUAAGACAAGAACUGAGGUUGCGGGCUCGCUGCGUGGCGGAGCUUAACGAGGUUUUGGAGGAGGUGGAGACACACAUCCGACUCCUGAGUGAGGAGCUGCUGGAACAGCUGGCUCUGAGGGACGAGCUGACUUUCCACAAGGAAGCCAGCAACACCUUCAUCUCUGCCCUCAUCGAUCUCCAGACCCUCCACAAGGAGCAGCAGAGGAGGAGGAGGAGCCUGCAGGGCCGGCCGGAGCGGCAGCAGGGAUCACGAUUCAGCAUGAAGGGGCUCUCCUCUGCCAUUCAAAAUGGCUUCCGACACACCUUCAGGACCGGGGCCAGGGACGGACAGUACCUGACCACAGUCAUCCCCUACGAGAAGAAGCCUGGACCUCCGUCGGUGGAAGACCUUCAGAUCCUCACUAAGACCGCUCCUCAAUGCCCCUCAGUUCCUCCCCCAGCGACCUGUGGUUCCUCCCCCAGCGACCUGUGGCUCCUCCCCCAGCAUCCUAUGGCUCCUUCCAAAUGCAUUUGGGCUCCUCCCCCAACACCCCUUGCCUCCCCCCUCAGCGCACGUUUUCAUGCCUCGCUGCAUCACAUUGCUGUGAACGCUCCGUUACUGAGGUUGCUGUUGCUGUUUUUACUGUGUCAUAAAUCCCUCGUGUUUUGGGUGUUGUAGUUCUACAAGCCAUGAAGGAUGACAGUGACAAGGUGCCCAGCCUGCUGACGGACUACAUUCUGAAAGUGCUUUGCCCAACGUAACCACAGAGCUCUGAAGAUGCAGACGCACGAUGACAGCAACACUGUGUUGUAACUGUCAGCAUUAUGUACUCUUCACGGAUUCGCCUCUGUAAUGUUUUUAUGUAUGUAUUUAUCAUAACAAUAUCAUAUAAAGUACUUACUGCAAAAGGUAUAUCAUUUAAAGUACUUACUAAAAAAGGUCUAUCAUAUAAAGUAUUACAUAUUCAUAUGAUGACAGUAAGAGGUGUUGAUGUUCUUAUAGCCUUGACCAGGAAUUACGAGAAUAUGACUUAGUGUGAUAGUUUAAGGGUUGUUGUGUUGUGAAAUUGUAAUUAUCAGAGAGCUUAGAGUAGACUUUAAAUAGACUUUAUAGAAGUACAUUCAACUAACAGAACAGUAACAUGACUGUAGUGAACUCAGUUUCCCAUGAGGCCUUGCAGCACUGUGUUCCCAGAGAAGCUGCAUCCCAACAGCAGCACCAUGACCACACAGGUCAAGGGUUCACAGAGGUCAAGGGUCAGAACUGUAACCAAGCACUGAUUAAUACUAACUAUGCAUUUAAAUGAAGGAAGAACAAGGAGCUUCAGACGAGGUGUGUGAGGCUGGACAGCAGCCAGGCGAGCCCCCGCCGCCCCCGUCUGGAACGCAGUAUUUAUAUCACUAGGAAUCAAGCUGCUUUUAUCUUUGCCUGAAUCUUUUGUACAUCGUAAAUUAUUUUUUUCAAUGGAAUAUUAUACCGAGCUACUUAUCUGACACAUCGUUCAUGUGUUUUGUAAAUAUUUAAUUUUAAAUAAACUGAAAGCUUACAUUGAA